UAUUUCUGCACAUAUAUUUAGGAAGCUAGACAAGGAUUAGAUUCAGCUCAAAAUGCUGCAGCAACAGCUACAAGUGAAGAAGAUAAAGCUGAGGCUCUUAUUGCAGCUGAAUGUUAUGAAGCUAUUAUUAAAAGUUUGGAGAGUCAUUGAAAUCUUACUGAACUUUAGUUUAGGUAAGCAACCAAGUCGAGUCUUUAAAGAGUAUCUCAGUUCUAGUACAAUCUGUACACGUUCUUUUAUGGGACAAUUUUAUAGAUAAUUUAGAUGCCUAUAGUGAACUUCAGAUGAUUAAAGGUGAAGAUGAUUAAUCUCUUUCUCUUGCAGAUAUGUACGAUCAAGUUUUAUAUGGAGGACAUUUGUUGAACAAAAUAAAUAUAUAAUUUAUGUUGAAAUGUUUCGUUCUCUCUUUUGUUUAUUUUACGAAGCUUAUAAUGGAAAGUUUAACCAUAAAUUCACCUAAUUGCCCCC